ACGUUAGCAAUGUAUUCAGAUUAGUUACAUUUGAAGAUGAUCCAGAUAUUGAAACAGCAAUCUUGGAUGUGUUUACAAUGAUUACGCAUACGAUUGUAUGGCUUUUACUGGUAAUAAAAAUUCAACAAGUUAUAGAACAAAGUAAGCAGACUAAAGAAAUUUCACUCAAAGUUAGCCACUACUUAAAAAGCAGAGGUAACGUAACAAGAAAAAUUAUUCAAGAAAUUGAAUGGUUGGUACGAGCUGCCAUUGUGAAUCAACCGCAAUUUACGGCUGGAAAAUUAUAUGCAAUCGACUACAGCACCAUUUUAACACUAUUUAAUAUUAUGAGUACUUAUGUGAUUGUAACAAUACAAUUCGCUGCUAUUUUUCAAGAUAAACAACUUACAUAUAAUGCACGCGUAUAAUUAUUUAUGAUAUAAUAAAAACCAAUUGCAAAAUA